rnacentral:rRNA from 1 species
UACGUAGGGGGCUAGCGUUGUCCGGAAUCAUUGGGCGUAAAGAGCGUGUAGGCGGUCCGAUAAGUCCGCUCUGAAAGCCCGGGGCUCAACCCCGGGAGGCGGGCGGAUACUGUCGGGCUAGAGUCCGGAAGAGGCGAGUGGAAUUCCUGGUGUAGCGGUGAAAUGCGCAGAUAUCAGGAGGAACACCAAUAGCGAAGGCAGCUCGCUGGGACGGCACUGACGCUGAGACGCGAAAGCGUGGGGAGCAAACAGG